rnacentral:tRNA from 1 species
GCUUCCAUAGUUCAAUGGAUAGAACAGGGGACUUCUAAGCCCUUGAUCGUGGUUCGAUUCCACGUGGGAGCA